GAAAUGCGAUAAGUAAUGUGAAUUGCAGAAUUCAGUGAAUCAUCGAAUCUUUGAACGCACAUUGCGCCCUUUGGCAUUCCGAAGGGCAUGCCUGUUCGAGCGUCAUUACACCAAUCAAGCCUGGCUUGGUAUUGGGCGACGGGGUCGGUCGAACCACCCCCCGCCCCAAAGGCCUUUCCGGCGGGACGGACCGAAUCUCAGCGUUGUGCAAACGUGUCGCUGGCGAGACGGGACGGCCGUGCCGUUAAACCCCGUUUUCUUCAAGGUUGACCUCGGAUCAGGUAGGGAUACCCGCUGAACUUAAGC
rnacentral:misc_RNA from 1 species